rnacentral:rRNA from 1 species
UCGAGGGGUAGGGUAGCAAUACCUGAGACCGGCGCACGGGUGCGUAACGCGUAUGCAACCUACCUUUUACAGGGGAAUAGCCCAGAGAAAUUUGGAUUAAUGCCCCAUGGUAUAUUCGAGUGGCAUCACUUGAUUAUUAAAGUUCCAACGGUAAAAGAUGGGCAUGCGUCCUAUUAGCUAGAUGGUAAGGUAACGGCUUACCAUGGCUACGAUAGGUAGGGGUCCUGAGAGGGAGAUCCCCCACACUGGUACUGAGACACGGACCAGACUCCUACGGGAGGCAGCAGUGAGGAAUAUUGGACAAUGGGCGCAAGCCUGAUCCAGCCAUGCCGCGUGCAGGAAGAAGCAUCUAUGGUGUGUAAACUGCUUUUGUACGGGAAGAAACACUCCUACGUGUAGGAGCUUGACGGUACCGUAAGAAUAAGGAUCGGCUAACUCCGUGCCAGCAGCCGCGGUAAUACGGAGGAUCCAAGCGUUAUCCGGAAUCAUUGGGUUUAAAGGGUCCGUAGGCGGUUUGGUAAGUCAGUGGUGAAAGCCCAUCGCUUAACGAUGGAACGGCCAUUGAUACUGCCAGACUUGAAUUACUGGGAAGUAACUAGAAUAUGUAGUGUAGCGGUGAAAUGCUUAGAUAUUACAUGGAAUACCAAUUGCGAAGGCAGGUUACUACCAGUGGAUUGACGCUGAUGGACGAAAGCGUGGGGAGCGAACAGGAUUAGAUACCCUGGUAGUCCACGCCGUAAACGAUGGAUACUAGCUGUUGGGAGCAAUCUCAGUGGCUAAGCGAAAGUGAUAAGUAUCCCACCU